GAUUAAAAAUAAAAAAUAAAAACUAAAACUAAAAAAAUGAUGUAUUUUCUCAAUCCCAUCCAAAAGCCAAUUGGCAUCCUUGAUAUCCUCGAAAAUAAAAAGUUGAGACAGCCUGCCCAUUAAUUAAAAAGUUUGUUAUAAUUAUUAUUUUGAUAAAAUAUUUUGUUUAAUUUUCCUUCUCUAUUGCAACAACUAUAUAAAGACACAUAGAGCUACACUUAAUAUUCAUCCACUACAAUUCCCUCUUUCUAGCUACCUUCUCUUCCCAAUUUCUUUCCUAAAAAAAAAAAAGAAAAAAAAAAGAAUUUUUUUCAAGAAAAUUUAAGAAAUGGAAGCAAUGAAGAGAAAGCAAAUGAUUGUAAUGGUUGUUGUGGCCAUGUUAAUGACAUCAUCAAGUGUUUCAGGUGCAGAUGCACCAGCUCCAAGUCCCACUUCGGAUGCUACUACUCUUUUUGUUCCAUCUGCUAUUGCUUCUCUUUUUGCUCUUUUUUUUGGAUUUCUUUUCUGAAUUUAUUAUCAACAUUCUUAUAUUGUUGUUUUUUCCUUCAAAGUUAUUAUUCAUAUUCUUAUGUAACAUAUUCAUUCCUCACUUUACUUUUUCUUACAUGUAAUAUUAUUGUGAUUUGUUUGGUUUCAUGAAUUUAUUCAUGCCCUUUUAUUUGAUUACAUAAUAUAUUCUCUCCUUUUCUGUUUUUAUUUUUUUAUUUUUAAUAAUGAUGAUGUUAAUUGGAUUAGUUCAUGAAAAGGGGAAGAUUAGGAUUCAAAACUUAUAUAUUAUACAAGACUUAAUUUUGACCAUCCAUAAGGCAAAGACUUUUUUCUAUCCAUCAAUGAUGAUUUCAUAUUUGUCUCUACAUUAAUUAAUUUUUGUUCUUUUGCGUAUAUUUAUAGUUCAUGUUUUCUUUAUAAUUGGGCGCAGUUUGUGUAACAACCUAAUUUCUUUGAAUCACACUACAUUUAUGAAUUUUUUGUUUUUUCUUUUUCACUAUUAAAAAUUUAAUGAAUUUUUGUCUUUUGAUGGAAUCAAACUCAAUGUUUAAAGAAUUAUCAUUGUUCAUUCAUUCAUACUACCAAUUGAACUACUCAUAAGAAUUCAUUAAAUUAUUGACGGUGGAAAAGGAAAAGCUAUAAGCUCUUUAGUGUACUAUAGUCAAAGAGAAUGAGUUGUUAUAAAAAAAUAUGUUUUUUUUUAAUAUUUCCACGACAUUUUUAUUCAGUGUCUUCUUACGGCUAUUCUCAUUUAAAAUUGAC
rnacentral:lncRNA from 1 species